rnacentral:rRNA from 1 species
GAUCCUGGCUCAGGAUGAACGCUAGCGGCAGGCUUAACACAUGCAAGUCGAGGGGCAGCACGAGGUAGCAAUACUUUGGUGGCGACCGGCGCACGGGUGCGUAACGCGUAUGCAACCUACCUUUAACAGGGGCAUAACACUGAGAAAUUGGUACUAAUUCCCCAUAACAUUCGAGAAGGCAUCUUCUUGGGUUAAAAACUCCGGUGGUUAAAGAUGGGCAUGCGUUGUAUUAGCUAGUUGGUGAGGUAACGG